rnacentral:rRNA from 1 species
UUGGAGGGCAAGUCUGGUGCCAGCAGCCGCGGUAAUUCCAGCUCCAAUAGCGUAUAUUAAAGUUGUUGCAGUUAAAAAGCUCGUAGUUGAAUUUCGGGAUUGACGUGAUGGUCAUGCCUUAAGGGGUAUGAACUGUUACAGUUGAUUUCUCACCUUCUGGAGAAACUUGAUGUCCUUUAUUGGGUGUCUUGCGGAUCCAGGACCUUUACCUUGAAAAAAUUAGAGUGUUUAAAGCAGGCAUUUUUGCUCGAAUGCAUUAGCAUGGAAUAAUAGAAUAGGACGGCAUGGUUCUAUUUUGUUGGUCUCUAGGAUCACCGUAAUGAUUAAUAGGGAUAGUUGGGGGCAUUAGUAUUCAAUUGUCAGAGGUGGAAUUCUUGGAUUUAUUGAAGACUAACUACUGCGAAAGCAUUUGCCAAGGAUGUUUUCAUUAAUCAAGAACGAAAGUUAGGGGAUCGAAGACGAUCAGAUACCGUCGUAGUCUUAACCAUAGACUAUGCCGACUAGGAAUCAGACGAUGUUAAUUUUUUAAUGACUCGUUUGGCACCUUACGGGAAACCAAAGUGUUUGGGUUC